AUACAUACCUCACAAAGGAGACACCUUGAUCACGAAGGAGGUUUUUCCAGGGUGAAGCUCAUCCAUUGCAUUCGGGGUGUGCUGACCCUGUGAUUUUCCCAAAUGCAGGAAACUUGACUGCAUAAUUUGUGAUAGUGGGGACUGUGUCCACAUUUUCCCCU